rnacentral:rRNA from 1 species
ACGAACGCUGGCGGCAGGCCUAACACAUGCAAGUCGAGCGCUACCUUCGGGUGGAGCGGCGGACGGGUUAGUAACGCGUGGGAAUAUACCCAGUUCUAAGGAAUAGCCACUGGAAACGGUGAGUAAUACCUUAUACGCCCUUCGGGGGAAAGAUUUAUCGGAAUUGGAUUAGCCCGCGUUAGAUUAGCUUGUUGGUGAGGUAAAGGCUCACCAAGGCGACGAUCUUUAGCUGGUCUGAGAGGACGAUCAGCCACAUUGGGACUGAGACACGGCCCAGACUCCUACGGGAGGCAGCAGUGGGAAUAUUGG